GGGUCAAUGAUGAGAACUCAUAUGGCCUCAAAGACAGAUAAUGACCUAAAAUUAUGCUCAAUAGGAUUACACUAAGGCCC